rnacentral:misc_RNA from 1 species
GGAGUCGUAACAAGGUUUCCGUAGGUGAACCUGCGGAAGGAUCAUUAUUGUAUAACCGAGGUGCGAGGGCUGUCGCUGACCCGAAAGGUCGUGCACGCCCGAGUGCCCUCACACACAUCCAUCUCACCCCUAUGUGCACCACCGCGUGGGUCCCCCUUUGGCUUGUUCGGAGGGGGGCUUACGUUUUCACACAAACUUUGUAUGCAGUGUAGAAUGUAUUUUUUGUUUUUGCGAUCACGCAAUCAAUACAACUUUCAACAACGGAUCUCUUGGCUCUC